UUACUCCUACGGGAGGCAGCAGUGGGGAAUAUUGCACAAUGGGCGCAAGCCUGAUGCAGCCAUGCCGCGUGUGUGAAGAAGGCCUUCGGGUUGUAAAGCACUUUCAGCGGGGAGGAAGGCGUUGAGGUUAAUAACCUUGGCGAUUGACGUUACCCGCAGAAGAAGCACCGGCUAACUCCGUGCCAGCAGCCGCGGUAAUAA
rnacentral:rRNA from 1 species